GAGUUUGAUCAUGGCUCAGAUUGAACGCUGGCGGCAUGCCUUACACAUGCAAGUCGAACGGCAGCACGGGAGCUUGCUCCUGGUGGCGAGUGGCGAACGGGUGAGUAAUGCAUCGGAACGUAUCCUGGAGUGGGGGAUAACGUAGCGAAAGUUACGCUAAUACCGCAUAUUCUGUGAGCAGGAAAGCGGGGACCUUCGGGCCUCGCGCUCUUGGAGCGGCCGAUGUCGGAUUAGCUAGUUGGUGAGGUAAAGGCUCACCAAGGCGACGAUCCGUAGCAGGUCUGAGAGGAUGAUCUGCCACACUGGAACUGAGACACGGUCCAGACUCCUACGGGAGGCAGCAGUGGGAAUUUGGACAAUGGGGCAACCUGAUCCAGCCAUGCCGCGUGAGUGAAGAA
rnacentral:rRNA from 1 species